AGUGAACGCUGGCGGUAGGCCUAACACAUGCAAGUCGAACGGCAGCACAGUAAGAGCUUGCUCUUACGGGUGGCGAGUGGCGGACGGGUGAGUAAUACAUCGGAAUCUACUUUUUCGUGGGGGAUAACGUAGGGAAACUUACGCUAAUACCGCAUACGACCUACGGGUGAAAGCAGGGGAUCUUCGGACCUUGCGCGAUUGAAUGAGCCGAUGUCGGAUUAGCUAGUUGGCGGGGUAAAGGCCCACCAAGGCGACGAUCCGUAUCUGGUAUGAGAGGAUGAUCAGCCACACUGGAACUGAGACACGGUCCAGACUCCUACGGGAGGAAGCAGUGGGGAAUAUUGGGCAAUGGGCGCAAGCCUGAUCCAGCCAUACCGCGUGAGUGAAGAAGGCCUUCGGGUUGUAAAGCCCUUUUGUUGGGAAAGAAAAGCAGCAGGUUAAUACCCCGCUGUUCUGACGGUACCCAAAGAAUAAGCACCGGCUAACUUCGUG
rnacentral:rRNA from 1 species